UCAAAUAUAUAAUUAAAUAAUUUAUUUCUCGCAAAUUGCUUUCAACUGCAAAUAAAGUCAAAAGAAACGUAAACAUUGCUUAUAAACAAACCAUGGCAACUCUAUUGAUAACUAUCGAUAUCAGUAGUUAACGACCGAUGACUUUUUGCACCGCAAAAAAGGCCGCAGCUAGUCACUACAUGUUUUCUUAAGGAUUAUUUGGUUUAUUUAAUCAUUUACAGCAAAAACACACAACAGCUAGUUACAAUAUGUUUUAAAUCCCAUGGUAGCCGGUUGUACGUGCCGGAUUCACCCGAUAAAGACCCUAAUCGGCAAGGGCUGCCGUCUCCGUAUACAACACACUGCUACAACAACUACAAAUAUAUGUUUUUAGGCCGGGGUUCUAUUCUUUGGUUACAAUUUAUCGUAUCGAUCCAUGGCGAAACAAUUAAAGGUGGUCUCAUUUGUACAACAACCACAAAUCCUAUGGUACUUUUGCCAACACACCCAAAGAAAUUUGUGUGCGUGUGUAUGUAUAUACGUUUGCGUACAUGAGCAGAGAAUAUGCGAGAAAGAAGAUAACAACAAAGAGAAUGCAAACAAAAAUCUGUCACCUUAAUACCGUCAAACCUGGCGGCUGUUCGCGUGAGACCACUUUUGUAAAUCCGCCUUGGUAUCGAUCAAGGCGGAUUUAAAAAGGUAGUCUCACGCGAACAGAUGUAAACAGCCGGCCAGAUUUUUAUGCCGAGUCCGAACGGCCUAUGGCAAAGCGAUAUCAUUUGGAAGAGAAGUUUUAACAUAACAUAACAGGAUGACAAGUGUUGUCAACAUUAGUAAGGGGAUAACCACCGCUGAAAAAAUUUCUGAUAUUUAUGCCAGUAUUUUAGCCUAGGCGUCCGGCGUCGUAGGCGGGCAAGCUUGCCACUGCGACCUCCAAUGUGUUACAAACGGAAUGUGUUAUAAAUGUACUGUAAGCUCUGGCAACCCUGCUCAUGGCUGGGUAACGGUUUUUUGAGGAAAAAAACAACAAAGCCAACUGAACGACCAGCAAUUAUUUUUCAUUGAGAAUCUUUUGAGCUGGCACGCAAGAAAAACCCAAUUCUCCAAAAAAAAUGAGCAAUUCAAUGGGUUCAAAAUCCAAAAGCCGAGGACGUCCUUCUAAGAAAUCCGCCACCAAAGUGGAAAGAAACUCACAGCCUCCCAUCCAAAAUGCGGAAAAAAAUUUGGAAACCGAGUGGUUGGUAUUUGACAAGAAGGAAGAAGAUCCUUGUGAUUGCCCAUAUGAUAACUGUCCAGGAUGCUGGUAUCCGUGUUCCACUUGCGGAAGCAAAAAAUGCUCGCCAUUUUGUCGACGCAAUAGAAAAGAAUCAAGUUGGGAGCAGCAGCACAUCGAAUGGAGAAAGGUCUUCUGAACAUUUCUGUACAUACAUACAUAUGUACAUACCUACAUCCUAAGAUAACUCCCUAUGUUUUUUUAAAUGAAAUGAAUUGGACUUUAUUUUGUUUUCUCUUUUUUGUAUAAAUAAUCUAAAUAGUAAUAAAUAACAUACUCUAAAUAAUAGAA